UUCCAGACUCCUACGGGAGGCAGCAGUGGGGAAUAUUGCACAAUGGGGGGAACCCUGAUGCAGCGACGCCGCGUGGGUGAAGAAGCGCCUCGGCGCGUAAAGCCCUGUCAGCAGGGAAGAAAAUGACGGUACCUGAAGAAGAAGCCCCGGCUAACUACGUGCCAGCAGCCGCGGUAAUACGUAGGGGGCAAGCGUUAUCCGGAUUUACUGGGUGUAAAGGGGGCGCAGACGGCGAUGCAAGCCAGGAGUGAAAGCCCGGGGCCCAACCCCGGGACUGCUCUUGGAACUGCGUGGCUGGAGUGCAGGAGGGGCAGGCGGAAUUCCUGGUGUAGCGGUGAAAUGCGUAGAUAUCAGGAGGAACACCGGUGGCGAAGGCGGCCUGCUGGACUGCAACUGACGUUGAGGCUCGAAAGCGUGGGGAGCAAACAGGAUUAGAUACCCGCGUA
rnacentral:rRNA from 1 species